rnacentral:rRNA from 1 species
GCCCUGCGCCGAAAAUAUCCGGGGCUAAAGCACAGAACCGAAGCCGCGGCAGGGGUGCACAUGUUCACAGAGCGCUCAAAGCGCAGGAAAAAUUGGUAUCUACAAGGAAACUGAGAGCAACGUAGCGGCGCUACGUUAAACGAGGUUGACACAGUAGAGAGCAAUUUUAACAAGCUUUUUGAACGUUGUGUGGAUGUGUGCAUCACUGGGUAGGGGAGCGUUCUUAUCUGGACGAAGGCAGACCGGAAGGACUGCUGGACGGGUAAGAAGUGAGAAUGCCGGUAUGAGUAGCGAAACGACAGGUGAGAAUCCUGUCCACCGAAAGCCUAAGGGAUCCUGGGCAACGCUCGUCGCCCCAGGGUAAGUCGGGACCUAAGCCGAGGCGUAAAGCAUAGGCGAUGGACAACUGGCGAAAAUUCCAGUACCGGGCGUCUUCGUUUGAGGAUGGAGUGACGCAGGAAGGAAGCUGAGCGCGCGAAUGGUUGGGCGCGUCGAAGGCGGUAGGCUUGUAUGGAGGCAAAUCCCCAUACUAUAAGGCCGAGAACCGAUAGAUAGGAAAGACUACGGUCAAUCUGAAUUCAGCUGCACUACACUGCCAAGAAAAGCUUCUAACGAGAAGACGUCCGCCCGUACCAAAACCGACACAGGUAGGCGGGGAGAGAAUCCUAAGGUGCGCGGGAAAACCCUCGUUAAGGAACUCGGCAAAAUGCAUCCGUAACUUCGGGAAAAGGAUGGCCGCUUGGGGUGAAGAGACUUGCUCUCGGAGCUUUGGGCGGCGGCAGAAAAGAGGCCCAAGCGACUGUUUACCACAAACACAGGUGCCUGCGAAAGCGCAAGCUGAAGUAUAGGUGCUGACGCCUGCCCGGUGCAGGAAGGUUAAGGAGAGUUGUUAGUCCUUGAGAUGAAGCAGCGAACUGAAGCCCCUGUAAACGGCGGCCGUAACUAUAACGGUCCUAAGGUAGCGAAAUUCCUUGUCGGGUAAGUUCCGACCCGCACGAAAGGCGUAACGAUUUGGGCACUGUCUCAACGAGGGACCCGGUGAAAUUGAAAUACCUGUGAAGAUGCAGGUUACCCGCGACUGGACAGAAAGACCCCAUGGAGCUUUACUGCAGCUUGGCAUUGGUCUUUGGCAUAUGACGUACAGGAUAGCCGGGAGACUGGGAGGAUAGAUCGCUAGAUUUAUCGGAGUCACCGUUGGGAUACCGGCCUUCAUAUGCGAAGGAUCUAACCGGAAUGUUAACAGCAUUCGGGACAGUACCAGGCGGGCAGUUUGACUGGGGCGGUCGCCUCCGAAAGAGCAACGGAGGCGUCCAAAGGUUCCCUCAGCGCGGACAGAAAUCGCGCGCAGAGCAUAAAGGCAGAAGGGAGCUUGACUGCGAGACUGACGGGUCGAGCAGGUACGAAAGUAGGGCUUAGUGAUCCGGUGGAAAGAGAGUGGAAUUGCCAUCGCUCAACGGAUAAAAGCUACCCUGGGGAUAACAGGCUAAUCUCUCCCAAGAGUCCAUAUCGACGGGGAGGUUUGGCACCUCGAUGUCGGCUCAUCACAUCCUGGGGCUGAAGCAGGUCCCAAGGGUUGGGCUGUUCGCCCAUUAAAGUGGUACGUGAGCUGGGUUCAGAACGUCGUGAGACAGUUCGGUCCAUAUCCAUCGCGGGCGUAAGAUACAUGAGGGAGGCUGCUCCUAGUACGAGAGGACCGGAGUGGACGGACCAACGGUGUACCAGUUGUCCUGCCAAGGGCAUGGCUGGGUAGCUGCGUCCGGAAGGGAUAAACGCUGAAAGCAUCUAAGCGUGAAGCC